UCCUUGGUGGCUCAGAAGGUAAAGAAUCUGCCUGCAAUGCAGGAAACCUGAGUUCAAUCCCUAGUUAGGGAA
rnacentral:tRNA from 1 species